UAGCUCAGUCGGUAGAGCACACGACUGAAAAUCGUGGUGUCGGCAGUUCAAUUCUGC
rnacentral:tRNA from 1 species